AUGACAGGUGCUGCAUGGCUGUCGUCAGCUCGUGUUGUGAAAUGUUCGGUUAAGUCCGUCAACGAGCGCAACCCUCAUCGUAUGUUAUAUUUCUCAUGCGAGACUGCCCUGGGUUAACAGGGAGGAAGGUGGGGAUGACGUCUAGUCAGCAUGGCUCUUACGCCUCGGGCUACACACGCGUUACAAUGGCCGGUACAAUGGGUUGCCAACCAGCAAUGGGGAGCUAAUCCCACCAAAACCGGUCCCAGUUCGGAUUGAGGGCUGCAACUCGCCCUCAUGAAGUCGGAAUCGCUAGUAAACGUAAAUCAGCAUGUUACGUUGAAUUCGUUCCCGGGUCUU
rnacentral:rRNA from 1 species